rnacentral:rRNA from 1 species
GUCGAAAGAUUGGCUAAUACCGCAUACGUCCGAAAGGGGAAAGCAGGGGAUCGUAAGACCUUGCGCUAUUGGAUGAGCCAAAGUCGGAUUAGCUAGUUGGUGAGGUAAUGGCUCACCAAGGCGACAAUCCGUAGCUGGUCUGAGAGGACGACCAGCCACACCGGAACUGAGACACGGUCCGGACUCCUACGGGAGGCAGCAGUGGGGAAUAUUGGACAAUGGGGGAAACCCUGAUCCAGCGACGCCGCGUGUGUGAAGAAGGCCUGCGGGUUGUAAAGCACUUUUAGUGGGGACAAAAAGCCAAAGGCUAAUACCUUUUGGUCUUGAUUUAACUCACAGAAAAAGCACCGGCUAACUCUGUGCCAGCAGCCGCGGUAAUACAGAGGGUGCGAGCGUUAAUCGGAAUUACUGGGCGUAAAGCGCGCGUAGACGGUUUUGUAAGUCAGAUGUGAAAUCCCCGGGCUCAACCUGGGAACUGCAUUUGAUACUGCAUGGCUAGAGUACGGUAGAGGGAAGCGGAAUUUCCGGUGUAGCGGUGAAAUGCGUAGAUAUCGGAAGGAACACCAGUGGCGAAAGCGGCUUCCUGGACCAGUACUGACGUUCAUGUGCGAAAGCGUGGGGAGCAAACAGGAUUAGAUACCCUGGUAGUCCACGCCAUAAACGAUGACAACUAGAUGUUGGGAGGGUCUGCCUCUCGGUGUCGCAGCUAACGCGUU